rnacentral:misc_RNA from 1 species
GAGAAGAUCUUGAACUGGACUGCAGGUCCAGUUGGUGACCUGAAGCCUUGGUAGCAGCUAUAACAUACACAUUUCUUUGAAGAAAUUCUUAGUAUUCAUUCCCUUAGCCCAACCAACAGAGUUUCUCAAAAGUGUGAAUCUUGAUUACCACACUGUUUUGGGGAAUGGGGACGCUGCUUCGACCAUAAGUAGUUUUUAUUAUUAUUUUUUUAAACCUUUUAUGUAAAGGAACUUUUUAUCAGGACUGAACUGUGUUUCAAUUAUUGGAGUCAUUAAAUUGCUAAAUGCGAGCAACUAAGAUUACUAUUAAGUGCCA